rnacentral:rRNA from 1 species
UACGUAGGGCGCAAGCGUUGUCCGGAAUUAUUGGGCGUAAAGAGCUCGUAGGCGGUUUGUCGCGUCUGCUGUGAAAACCUAAGGCUCAACCUUGGGCUUGCAGUGGGUACGGGCAGACUAGAGUGCGGUAGGGGUGACUGGAAUUCCUGGUGUAGCGGUGGAAUGCGCAGAUAUCAGGAGGAACACCGAUGGCGAAGGCAGGUCACUGGGGCCGCAAACUGAACGCU